AGAGUUGAUCAUGGCUCAGAACGAACGCUGGCGGCAGGCCUAAAACAUGCAAGUUGAACGGCUGUAGCAAUACAGCAGUAGCGCACGGGUGAGUAAUGUAUGGGAACAUGUCUUUUGGUGGGGAAUAUUCUCUGGAAACGGAGAGCAAUACCGCAUAAGCCCUACGGGGGAAAGAUUUAUCGCCGAUUGAGUGGCCCAUAUUGGAUUAGCUAGUUGGUUGGGUAACGGCUGACCAAGGCGACGAUCCAUAGCUGAUCUGAGAGGAUGAUCAGCCACACUGGGACUGAGACACGGCCCAGACUCCUACGGGAGGCAGCAGUUAGGAAUAUUGGACAAUGGGGGCAACCCUGAUCCAGCCAAUGCCGCGUGAGUGUUAAGGCCUUCGGGUUGUAAAGCUCUUUUGUAUGGGAAAAUGAUGAUGAUACCAUAAGAAUAAGCACCGGCUAACUUCGUGCCAGCAGCAGC
rnacentral:rRNA from 1 species